rnacentral:misc_RNA from 1 species
GCGCCUUGGACACAUCAAGCUCCUCCUGCCCACCAACAUCACCCUUAACAAUCCCACUAUUAUCAUUAAAAACUGACACUUUAGAAACAAUCGCAUUCUGGGCAAUAAUCGUAAUAACCCGAUCAGGCGAUUCAGCGGGAGCAUCCUCAACACGUAUCUUAGCGCCCGUGAGCUGCUGAAGCUGCUUGAUUACGUUGCCAGACUUCCCAAUAACACCGCCGAUGCGGGAGGCGUGGCAGAGGAGGCGAAAGGAGGCGUGACCUGGAGGGACAGGAAGGGGAGGAGGAGGGGGUUUAGACCUCUUACUGGAGGGUCCAUUGACACAGGUGGGGUCGGGCAUAGUAGUAGUGUACUGUAUAGGUCGUUUCGCCGGAGGAUAAAGGAAGGUACUGCCCAUAAUCUCUGGCGAAGAAAUUCAGAGGAAAUUUGUGGAUUUGUAGAUAUAUAUAAUUGAGACGCGUGUGAAGGUGUGUUUCUUUGUCUUCUCUGCGUGGAAGGGGAGUGGGGUUACGCAGCUGAAGAGACAGACGGAGAAGAGGAAGGGGAAGAUUCU